rnacentral:tRNA from 1 species
UCAGCAAAAGCCAAAUUAGAGGCAUAUCGUUGUUAGCGAUAUAAGUGAAUUCAUUCUUGUUGAA